GACGAACGCUGGCGGCGUGCCUAAUACAUGCAAGUCGAACGCAUUGUCUUUCACCGUAGCUUGCUACACCGAAAGAAAAUGAGUGGCGAACGGGUGAGUAACACUUGGGUAACCUGCCCAUCAGCGGGGGAAAACACUUGGAAACAGGUGCUAAUACCACAUACUUCCAUUUACCGCAUGGUAGAUGGAUGUAAGGGGCUUUUGCGUCAGUGUUGGAUGUACCCGCGGUGCUUUAGCAAGUUGGUGGGGGAAAGGCCUACCAAGGCUGCGAUGCAUAGCCGACCUGGGAGGGUGGUCGGCCCCACUGGGACUGGGACACGGCCCAGGCUCCUACGGGAGGGAGCAGUAGGGGAUCUUCGGCCAUUGACGCAAGGCUGAACGAGCAACGCCGCGGGGGUGAAGAAGGGUUUCGGGUCGGUAAACUCUGUUGUUAGGGAAGAACAAGGAUGGGAGUGGAAAGUGCACCCCUUGACGGUAUCUAACCAGAAAGCCACGGCUAACUACGUG
rnacentral:rRNA from 1 species